GCCUGUUGUUUAAUAUGGGGUUUGGCUCAUGUGUUCUGUGUUUGCCUGUUGUUUAAUAUAGGGUUUGGCUCAUGUGUGAUGUGUUUGCCUGUUGUUUAAUAUGGGGUUUGGCUCAUGUGUGAUGUCAUGUGUUUGCCUGUUGUUUAAUAUGGGGUUUGGCUCAUGUGUGAUGUCAUGUGUUUGCCUGUUGUUUAAUAUGGGGUUUGGCUCAUGUGUGAUGUGUUUGCCUGUUGUUUAAUAUGGGGUUUGGCUCGUGUGAGAUGUGUUUACCUGUUGUUUAAUAUGGGGUUUGGCUCAUGUGUGAUGUGUGUUUGCCGGUUGUUUAGGGGGCGAAGGGAAGCACUGGCGGCAUCGGGGAUCCCGGAGCUGCAGGGCCAACGGGAGAUGCUGGUAUUGAAGGUCCGAUUGGUCUGCCUGGUCCAAAGGGUUUUCUAGGGUUUAAAGGCGAUAAGG